rnacentral:rRNA from 1 species
GGAUCAAUUGAUUGGUCAUGCCUACGGUAUGUACUAGUCAUAUUGGUUCUCACCUUCUAAUGAACCUUAAUGUCAUUCACUUGAUGUUUUGGGGAAUUAGGACUGUUACCUUGAAAAAAUUAGAGUGUUCAAAGCAGGCUGUUUACAGCUUGAAUAUCUUAGCAUGGAAUAAUAGAAUAG